rnacentral:sRNA from 12 species
UUGCGCCUGCAAAGGAUGCAGCAAGCCCUGUAUUACGGUUCUGCAGGCAACAGGAGCUUGUAUCAUCUCGUAUCUUGGCAAUGUGCCAAGUCAAAAUCUUUCC